rnacentral:rRNA from 1 species
UACGUAGGUGGCAAGCGUUGUCCGGAUUUAUUGGGCGUAAAGCGCGCGCAGGCGGUCGGGUAAGUCUGAUGUUAAAGCCCGGGGCUCAACCCCGGUUCGCAUUGGAAACUGCCUGGCUUGAGUGCAGAAGAGGAAAGCGGUAUUCCACGUGUAGCGGUGAAAUGCGUAGAGAUGUGGAGGAACACCAGUGGCGAAGGCGGCUUUCUGGUCUGUAACUGACGCUGAGGCGCGAAAGCGUGGGGAGCAAACA